CGGCGGACGGGUGAGUAACACGUGGAUAACCUACCUAUAAGACUGGGAUAACUUCGGGAAACCGGAGCUAAUACCGGAUAAUAUAUUGAACCGCAUGGUUAAAUAGUGAAAGACGGUUUUGCUGUCACUUAUAGAUGGAUCCGCGCCGCAUUAGCUAGUUGGUAAGGUAACGGCUUACCAAGGCAACGAUGCGUAGCCGACCUGAGAGGGUGAUCGGCCACACUGGAACUGAGACACGGUCCAGACUCCUACGGGAGGCAGCAGCC
rnacentral:rRNA from 1 species